GAAAAUUCCCCUCCUUCUGCAGUUCAUGGUGUUCUUCUAAACUAUUUAUAAAUAGGUCUACUGUAGCCAGUGUUUGCAUUUGGACUGCUUCACUGUUCUCGUUUUCAAGGCUUCUCUUAGAUCUGACAGUAAAGGUCAUGUUGACUCCCCUCAUCUGAAAUGAAGAGGGGAAGAAAAUUAACCCUGUAGUCAGGUGGCUCAAAGGCAGUAAUUCCCAUCAACGUGAGCAAGUUCUCCGUCGUGCGUGGCUGGGGCAGAGCGCCGGACCCACUCUCCCUUUUGCUCCAUUUUCGUUUCCCUGCCCUCUCCAUUAGCUGCUGACAGUUUUAGCUUCCUACGUCCAUUUAAAGAGAUUCCCCCCGCACAUCAUCUGGGAUUCAUGAACUGCAGAGAUCUGGCUAUUUUCAACUUUAAGCCACAGUUAAUCCAUGACCUUAGUGCUUUUGUCUCCAGGUCUGAAUUAUGUAAGUAUUACAGAACAAAGAUUGAAAUGAACUACUCUUGGUUUUAUUUUACCACUACAGUCACCUGAUUGGCUUUUCUAUUUCCACUAACUAGAAUAAUAGAGUGAAUUUAAUUCCUUUAUGAAAAGACCAUAAGGGUGUUUUUGUUGUUGUUGUUGCUUGUGGGUUAGUUUUGUUGUUGUUUUGUGUUUUUUUGGUCAGUGUGGUGAGGCCAAAUAAGAAAUAUUUCUACAGGGAAUGUAAAAAUGGUGGAAAAUAGUAACUGUCUGCUUUUCUGGCUGUUCAGGAUUCCUGCCAAGUGGACACAAAGACAACUGAAGCAGGAAUGUACCCCGUACUCUGCAGUGCCCACUGCAAUGUCACUGCAAGGGCAUCCUACUUCCCACAUGCUUCAGAAACACCAGAUACUUUAACUGUGCUUCUCAAAAUAUGCUCAAGAAAUGUGUGUGCACAUUGCCUAUCCUUCCCCUCCUCUGUGCACUGAAUAUUUUUGGUGUAGGAGAGUUCAGUAACGGAAGCGUAAACCUUCUGUUUACAUCUAUAAACAAGAUAAGGCAGGACUCAGAUACCUCUUUUCUUGGAGCAGCUCAGCAGAAGAACAGAAAGAUGUCAUUUCUGGCAUGGAUCACCCAGCGGCACGUCCCUGGAAGAUGGACUGGUGCUCAGGUGCUGAGGUUUCAGGUCAGACAGAACCCAUGGGGAUGCUUCUUCAUGCACCAGCCUGGCUCCAUCCAGCUCGCCAGCACCAAAAGGAGGCAUCCGACCCCCCCACGGCACAGAUUUCUUAACGUGUGUGUGAGCAAGCAAUUGGCUGCUGGGACAGGAAGAUGUGACCGUGCAGGCCCUUUGCAGCACUGA
rnacentral:lncRNA from 1 species